UGGAAAUCAUGGCACCUUGCUGGAGCUCCCUACCUACUUAGAACCUUUUAAAGUUGGAGCGCACACGUCGCUUUACCUCGAGCUGCUUAACAACCAACUAAACGCAUACCAGACAUCUGCAACAGCACCAACAGAGGCAUCUCGGAGGGCUGUGUGUGAGCUGCGAGCAUCGCUUCCCUCGUCCCUCAACGCGGAGACGGCUGUUGCGCGGGAGCUGCUGUGGACGCGAAGCCCGCCCAGCCUCUCCUCACACAGAGGCGGCCGUUAACGGUCGCGGCGCGUGCACCCACAGCUGUUAACGGUCGCGGCGCGCGC
ensembl:lncRNA